AGAGUUUGAUCAUGGCUCAGAUUGAACGCUGGCGGCAAGCCUCAUACAUGCAAGUUGAACGAGAAAGUAUCUUCGGAUGCGAGUACAGUGGCGGACGGGUGAGUAAUACAUAGGAAUCUACCCAAUGGAGGGGGAUAGCUCGAGGAAACUCGAAUUAAUACCGCAUAAUCUCCACGGAGUAAAGAGGGCUUCGGCUCUCGCCAUCGGAUGAGCCUAUGCAAGAUUAGCUUGUUGGUAAGGUAAUGGCUUACCAAGGCUACGAUCUUUAGCUGGUUUGAGAGGACGACCAGCCACAUCGGGACUGAGACACGGCCCGGACUUCUACGGAAGGCAGCAGUAGGGAAUAUUGGACAAUGAGCGAAAGCUUGAUCCAGCCAUGCCGCGUGUGCGAUGAAGACCUUAGGGUUGUAAAGCACUUUAGGUUAUGAGAAAAGAUUUGGUAUUAAUACCACCAAAUUUUGAUGUUAAUUUCAGAAUAAGCACCGGCUAAAUCCGUGCCAGCAGCCGCGGUAAUACGGAUGGUGCAAGCGUUAAUCGGAAUUACUGGGCGUAAAGCGCGCGUAGGUGGCAUACUAAGUUAGAUGUGAAAUCCCGGGGCUUAACCUCGGAACUGCAUCUAAAACUGAUAAGCUAGAGUACUAGAGAGGAAAGUAGAAUUCUUAGUGUAGCGGUGGAAUGCGUAGAUAUUAAGAGGAAUACCAAUGGCGAAGGCAACUUUCUGGAUAGAUACUGACACUGAGGUGCGAAAGCGUGGGGAGCAAACAGGAUUAGAUACCCUGGUAGUCCACGCCGUAAACGAUGAUAACUAGCCGUUGGAAUUUUCAGUGGCGCAGCUAACGCAAUAAGUUAUCCGCCUGGGGAGUACGGCCGCAAGGCUAAAACUCAAAUGAAUUGACGGGGACCCGCACAAGCGGUGGAGCAUGUGGUUUAAUUCGAUGCAACGCGAAAAGAUACAGGUGCUGCAUGGCUGUCGUCAGCUCGUGUCGUGAGAUGUUGGGUUAAGUCCUAUAACGAGCGCAACCCUUACCCUUAUUUGCCAGCGGUUCGGCCGGGAACUAUAAGGGAACUGCCGGUAAUAAGCCGGAGGAAGGUGGGGACGACGUCAAGUCAUCAUGGCCCUUACGUGUAGGGCUACACACGUGCUACAAUGGGAGAUACAAACGGUUGCCAAAGCGCGAGCUGGAGCUAAUCCGAGAAAGUCUCUCGUAGUCCGAAUUGCAGUCUGGAACUCGACUGCAUGAAGCCGGAAUCGCUAGUAAUCGCGGAUCAGCAUGCCGCGGUGAAUACGUUCUCGGGUCUUGUACACACCGCCCGUCACACCAUGGGAGUGAAUUGCACCAGAAGUAGAUAGCUUAACCUUCGGGAUGGCGUUUACCACGGUGUGGUCCAUGACUGGGGUGAAGUCGUAACAAGGUAGCACUAGGGGAACCUGGGGCUG
rnacentral:rRNA from 1 species